rnacentral:rRNA from 1 species
AGUGAACGCUGGCGGUAGGCCUAGCACAUGCAAGUCGAACGGCAGCACAGUAAGAGCUUGCUCUUACGGGUGGCGAGUGGCGGACGGGUGAGGAAUACAUCGGAAUCUACUUUUUCGUGGGGGAUAACGUAGGGAAACUUACGCUAAUACCGCAUACGACCUACGGGUGAAAGCAGGGGAUCUUCGGACCUUGCCCGAUUGAAUGAGCCGAUGUCGGAUUAGCUAGUUGGCGGGGUAAAGGCCCACCAAGGCGACGAUCCGUAGCUGGUCUGAGAGGAUGAUCAGCCACACUGGAACUGAGACACGGUCCAGACUCCUACGGGAGGCAGCAGUGGGGAAUAUUGGACAAUGGGCGCAAGCCUGAUCCAGCCAUACCGCGUGGGUGAAGAAGGCCUUCGGGUUGUAAAGCCCUUUUGUUGGGAAAGAAAAGCAGCAGGUUAAUACCCCGCUGUUCUGACGGUACCCAAAGAAUAAGCACCGGCUAACUUCGUG